rnacentral:rRNA from 1 species
UACGAAGGGGGCUAGCGUUGUUCGGAAUCACUGGGCGUAAAGCGCACGUAGGCGGACUGUUAAGUCGGGGGGUGAAAUCCUGGGGCUCAACCCCAGAACUGCCCUCGAUACUGGCGGUCUUGAGUGUGGAAGAGGUUGGUGGAACUCCGAGUGUAGAGGUGAAAUUCGUAGAUAUUCGGAAGAACACCAGUGGCGAAGGCGGCCAACUGGUCCAUUACUGACGCUGAGGUGCGAAAGCGUGGGGAGCAAACAGG